ensembl:misc_RNA Metazoa_SRP Metazoan signal recognition particle RNA
GCCGGGUGUGGUGGUGCGCACCUGUAAUCCGAGCUACUCAGGAGGCUGAGGCAGGAGAAUCGCUUGAGCCCAGGAGGCAGAGGUUGCAGUGAGCUGAGACUGCGCUACUGCACUCCAGCCUGGGCCACACAGUGAGACUCUGUCUCAA